rnacentral:lncRNA from 1 species
UUCAAUCCUUGCAGCUAUGCCUUCAUGAUUGAAGAAAAGCAGUUCAGCUUUUUUCCAAGUAACCUGUCGGAUUUACAGGAAGUAAGCAAGCUUCCUAUUAUAGUGGAUUGGAGUAUUGGGCGCAAUAACUGCGAAACCUUGGAAAAGAACAAGAUAUCGAAUGCAUGUUGGAGCAGCAGCUAUCAAGAAGGGAAGGAUCCGUUACAGAAACGGCAAAAAUCUUUUCAGCUAAAGAACUCGAGAAAGCCACUGACAAAUACCAUGAAAGUAGAAUUCUUGGCCGUGGAGGUUUUGGCACAGUUUACAAGGGAACUUUAACAGAUGGAAGAACUGUUGCAAUCAAGAAGUCCAAAACAAUCGAUCAUAGCCAGAUCGAGCAGUUUAUCAAUGAGGUGGUUGUUCUUUACCAAAUCAAUCACUGGAAUGUGGUGAAGCUUCUGGGAUGUUGCUUGGAGACAGAAGUCCCAUUACUAGUUUAUGAAUAUGUUGCAAAUGGCACCCUCUAUGACCACAUUCACGACAUGAGUAAGGUGCCGGCCCUCACCUGGGAAAUCCGUUUAAAGAUAGCUUCUGAAACUGCAGGUGUUCUAUCAUAUUUGCAUUCCGCGGCUUCUGUGCCAAUCAUUCAUAGGGAUGUGAAGUCUACAAACAUACUCCUGGACAACAGUUACACGGCAAAAGUGUCAGAUUUUGGCACUUCUAGGUUAAUUCCGUUGGAUCAAGUUGAAUUGUCAACGAUGGUGCGAGGUACUCUAGGAUACUUAGACCCUGAGUACUUGCACACAAGCCAACUGACGGACAAGAGUGAUGUUUACAGUUUUGGAGUGGUUCUUGUGGAACUACUAACUGGGAUGAAGGCAAUUUCCUUCCAUAAGCCUGAGGGGGAGAGGAAUUUAUCAUCGUAUUUUCUUUGUGCACUGAAAGAAGAUCGCCUGGUCCAUAUUCUUCAGGAUAGCAUGGUGAACCAGGAUAAUAUCAGGCAGCUGAAGGGAGUUGCCGACAUUGCAAAGAAGUGCUUAAGAGUAAAAGGAGAGGAAAGACCCAACAUGAAGAAUGUAGCAAUGGAAUUAGAGGGGCUAAGAACAUCUGCAAAACAUCCUUGGACUAAUGACGAAUCAGAUGUAGAAGAGACAGAGGACUUGCUUGGAGAAUCAGUGGAAACUGUUCGUUCUGAGGAAAUGGCUGGUACAAGUGCUGGAUAUCACGGUUUAUAUUUAAUGCAAUCACAAGGAGAUGGCAGAUGAACAUUUUAUUCUAGUGUCACAGCUUCGCUUGAUAGUUUGCUUUGAAUAAUAGCUUGCGCCAAGGCAAUGCUUUUCUUUUCUAUAUUACAGUCCAGUUCUUUUCUAUGUAAUUUUAUAAGAGAAAGAAUUUCUGAUGACAGUAUGUACAAUAUUCAACCCGCAUUGAAACUCUUUAUCCUAUCUCCAUUCUGCAAUGUAAUAUUCCAGGCGAUCUCCUUCUGAAAGCAAAAAAAUUGCUUGACAAACAUUCCGGUGUAUGCCAUUUCCUAAACAGGCAAAAUCUGUUAGUUACCCAUGCUCAUUGACAAGGACUGCGAUUAUAUGUCUCUGGGAAGGAAAUUUUUAUCGUCCACUCGACAUAGCAUAACAUAUUUGAAACGUUGUGAUUAUUUUUUAAAAUAUUUUUAAUUUAUAAAUAUAUUAAAAUAAUUUUUAUUUUUAAAAAUUAUUUUUGAUACCAGCACAUCAAAAUAAUCUAAAAAUAUAUAAAAAAAAUAUUAAUUUUAAAAAAAUAAAAAUAAAUAAAUAUUUUAAAAAAAUAUUUUUGAAAUAAAAAAUAAAUAAGCUGACAACAAAAAAAGAAAUUAGUAAAGGCACAACCAUUAUUUAGCUUUUCUUGUCGAUGAAAACUAAAAAAAAAUCUUACGUUGAUCAUGAUAAUUCUUAAUAAAGAAAUUGAUUCCACAUUUUUAUAAAAGAUCAAGACCGCUCUAACCCGAACUUAUUGGAUACCUAAGUAUGCAUAUUGUCAAGGAUGAUUCAUCUCAAAAUAUAAUUUUUCUAUCAUAUAUAAUAUAUAAUAUUUAUUAUUUAAUUAUUUAAUUUAUUUAUAUGUUUAUUGCUAGGUGUGUGUGUAUAUUACUUUUGGUAUUUAGUAAUGAAUAUUUGAAUAAAUAUCUUAAACUCGAUGUAUAACCCAAUAAAUAAUAGAUAAAAUAUGAAUAUAGCAUAAACUCAAACUCUUGAAUACUCAUUAUCAUCUCUCUCGAAAUUAUUUAACAUUUUUAUAUCUAAUCUUAAAUAAGAUAAUUUAAAAAAUGAAAUGAAAUGCUCAGUUACCUAAAUUGAAGGCAAGUUAUUGGAACUUUAUUGGGAAGCAAAGAGUUAUAGAUUAAAACCCAAUUUAUGCCCAUAAUCAAAUAUACUAAAUUUAGACCUUAGGUCCAAAACCACCUUGUCAAUUCAAAGAUAAUAAAAUUAAAGUUUAAAAACCAUUAAAAGAAUCCAAAAUAAUGAGGACAUGAGCUCUAUGUCCAUGUGCAUCUAUCACAUCAUGUGUUUAAAAAUAAAAUUGAACCUAAGGCUCGACCUCUAUUACCCCCCGUAAAAGAUUUCAAGAAGAAAUUUAUUAAUGGCAUAACAAAAAAAAAAAUCAAAUAAUAAUAAUACCAAAAAAUAUAGAAAAAAUAAAAAAUCUUAUAAAACAUCUUCCUCCUUGCUUCCCAAAGCAAUCUUUAAGUUAGUGUUAAAUCUUUUUUUAAUAUUUUCUAGUAUAUAUAAUUCUAGAUUUAUUAUAUUAAAUAUGGUAUCAAUAUUUUAGCUCAAAACUAAAGUUUUUUUUUUUUUAAUAAUCCGGGAUGUUCGGGUUAACUUGCGCACACCACAACUAAUCCACGAGAUCUACUGAACAUCCUACAAGCCCAAUAAACAUGUAAGGCACCGCGAGGAUGACAUAUGUGCACAAUAAAAUUCAAAUCCAUGUGCAGUGGAAGGGAACAAGUUUCUUCCACCACUGGACCACAUCCCUCAGUGCAAAAAUAACUAAAGUUUUUCUUGAUCUAUACAACACUCCAUCUAGUAUGAAUAAUAUGUAUUGUUAUUUUUUUUUAUUUGAUAAAAUAUUUGAAAUGAUGAUUAAAAAAAAUACCUGCUACUAUAUUAGAUCAAAUCAGUCAACCAUAAUAUAUAUUAAAAAAAAAAUUAAUAUGGCUUGUUCGACUUUCGGGGCAAGAGCAAACUAAUUACCUCAUUUAAAUGGCAAUAUAAUUAAAAACAAAUCCACUCCAUCAUUGUUUUAACAUCUACCUAGCUCUAGCUUAAAUAUGAAAUAAUAAAUUGUCAAAACAUUAAAUCAUAAAAAAAAAAAUUAGAAAGUAAAAUGAAAAGAUGGCAACAUAUUGUAUUGAUCUGGAUUAACAUGUGAAAUUUACAACCAAUAUAAUAGACACAAUCAUAAUAAAUGAAUCUGGUUGGACAAUUUAUAUUUUUUUUUCUUCUUUUAUUCUCUUCCUGAUUGAGUCUUAAUAUAUCUCAAGUUAGAUUAACUCUGGAGUCUGUUGGUAAAACUUUGAUAAACUUUAUUUUGAAGAAUGAUACAUCUGCUCGCAGAAAUUCAAGAUAUACUUGCCUCGUUGUGAUCAUGUUGAAUGAACAUCCAAAUUACAAGAGAUGUUAAUUACAUAAAAGAAAAUCUACAAAAAUGCUACAGUAAGUUAUUUCUCUGCAUUACAUGAUCCAUGCUUCUCUGGUAACAAAACCAAGCUCACUUGUGAAGUCGAAACUCCUGAAAAGAGUUUUAUUGAUUGCAAAACAUCCUUGGACUAAUGACGAAUCAUAUGUAGAAGAGACAGAGGACUUGCUUGGAGAAUCAGUGGAAACUGUUCGUUCUGAGGAAAUGGCUGGUACAAGUGCUGGAUAUCACAGUUUAUAUUUAAUGCAAUCACAAGGAGAUGGCAGAUGAACUUUUUAUUCUAGUGUCACAGCUUCGCUUGAUAGUUUGCUUUUUAUAAUAGCUUGCGAGCAGUGUAUGGUAAUGCUUUUAUUUUCUAUAUUUCAGUCCAGUUCUGUUUUUGUUAUAGUGGUCCUGUAAUUUUAAAAGACGAAGAAUUUCUGACAGUAUGUGCAAUACUCAACCCGCAUUGAAACUCUUUAUCCUAUCUCCAUUCUGGUGUAUGCCAUGCUCGUUGACAAGGACUUCGAUUGCAUGUCUCUGGGAAGGAAAUUUUUAUCGUCGCCCCGACAUUUAGACAACCACAAAAAAAGAAAUCCGGAAAGGCACAAUCAUUAUUCAAUUUUUAUAUUUUUUUAUCUAAUCUUGACGCAGCAGUAAACAGUGAAGGAAUACGACCAACGUCAAUAUUCUGUAAAAUUGUAUAAACAAGAGAAACUCUCAGAAAACUCAAAGGUUUUUAUUCAAUAAUUAUUAGCUGCCACCUCCAGAGGCUUUGCAAUGAUAUUUAAAGCAAAAUUCUACCCUAACCCAUGACGGAUAAGGAAACGACACAAAACAUUAAAUUUACCAAAAAUGACAAAUUUGAGAUAAAUGCAGAAUAUGAAAGGCCUAUAAAUCCUGAGCAAACAAGAAUUGACGGAAGUCAAUUCGGACUCUGGAAUCAAAAGUUAUGGCCAAAACAAAACUUUCCUAAAAUGACAAAAAUGACGAUUUCGGGGACGAAACGAUGGAAUUUGGCCAAAAACCGGUGGACAUCAGGGGCAUAGCCGCUGACUUCAUCCGCAAAUGGCGAAACGCUUUGACUCGGUGAGUUUCGCGGCAUUCCAACAUCAACGCCCCGGCUGCCGAAAUUCAGUUGCCUUUGAAUUUCGGGUGAUCCCUUUUGAGCAUGUAUUCUUCCGUUAUUUGUUCUACAUCAAAUCUUAAGCUACAAAACUGUAUAACAAAUUCAGUUCGAUACUGCAAUUGUUGAGGUAUAGAUUUGGACUUUUAUUUUGACCAAACCAUAAAAUUCAUGUCUUUUAAGUAAUGCAUUUCUCAGGUAAUGAAAUCACCAAUUAAAUCUCAGGAGUCCAGGGAUAGCUAAUGGAUUAAAUUAGAGGCAUAUCGAAGAUAUAAUAAAUACACCCAUCAGUAGGAAUCAUCAAAAGCAGCAAUCACAAUCAAAUAGGCAGAGAAAGGCACCCCCACCACUGCUCUUGUUAAAACCCAAUUCCUCUUGUGUAUAUACUCAUUAUAUCCGCGCAAGUCAAAUAAUUUGUUUUUUACAAAAGAAAUUAAAUAUACAAGCUUUUAAAUUUUGUUUUUUUUUAUCCUAAUUAUAAAUAAAAAAACCUAUACAUUCACUUAAUUAAAUACAUUAAAAACUACAUGUGCCAAUAAAUAUAUAAAAAAAAUAAAAUCUUAACAUGUUUAUUCAACUCGCCUCACUACAAGUUAAAUAAUUUUUUUUUUCUAAUAUAAAAGAAUUAAUAUGUAGGUGUUAUUAACAAAUCUUUUUACAUCGAGUAAAAAAUAUAACCGUAAAUCAAAAACCUGAUGACCACAUGUGUCAUCGCAACAUAGAAAGGAAAUGUUAAGACGAUUCAAACUCUACCGUGAAAGAUGAUAUUUGAUUAUUGGAAGGCUUCUCAAUCGAGGAUGCGUGCAAUAUAGUUGUUUGAUAUUUUUUUUAAUAAUAUUUAUAUUUAUUAAAUUAUUAAAUAACUUCUAAGUCAACCUAGAUAUUUUAUUGUUUCAAUCUUGGUGUAAAAUGAAUGAUGGAUGAUUUUUAGUUUUUUCUUAAGUAUUUAAUUCUCAGUUAUAUUAUGCUCUGGUUUAUGCAAUUUAAUUUACUAGUAGUUUUAGUUUUUAGGAUAAAACCAUUAUUCAAUUAACUUCCCUAAAGAAAGAGAGAUUGACAGAUCUCAAAUACAAGAAAAAAUAAAUAAAUUUAAGUGGCAUGUUAUUUCCGAACCGGAAUAUAUUGGAAGAUCCUCUCCAACGGCUCAAAUAUAAUGAGAGCCACCAUAUCAUCAUACGUUGUUAACAAUCCCGUGAAGUAACUGAUAUCAAUUUUUUUUUUAAUUUAUUAGGAUUAAGAAAAAAUUGAAUGAAUUUUAAUUAUAUUUGUUUGAAAGUUUAGUAGCGGUUAUUUUUUAAAAUAUUUUUUAUUAAAAAAUAUAUUGAAAUAAUUUUUUACUAUUUUAACAUUAAUAAAUCAAAAUAAUAUAAAAACACCAAAAUAUAUAUAUAUAUAUAUAUAAAUUUUAAUGAGAGGAUUAUAGAUUAUAUAAAAUUAAAAUCAUGUUUGCUUUUUUUUGAAGUGUUUAGGAAUAUGAUGCAAACCACAUUCCCUCAAAUUUUGAAAAAAAAAUUAUUUAAAUUUUUUUUUAUGUUUUCAAAUCGUUUUAAUAUGUUAAUGUUAAAAAUAAUUUUUAAAAAAUAAAAAAAAUAAAUAAAACGCAACCGUCUCUUUAAAUUGAGUAGGUAACCUUCGAUUUAUGCUUCGGUUAAUGUAGAUCUUGUAAGAAACCCAUCCAGUCGAAGCUAUUUGCUUAUUAGUCUAAAAGAGAUCUUUGAAUUCGUUAUUUAGUUUUAGGUUAUCAGACUGGUGAGAUUCUAAAUGUUGCACUGCUAAAUAUCAGCAAGUUGGGAAAUGAAGGCAAACCUCAAGAAUCGAAGAUAUGUUUACCAUCGAGAUCGAGCUUAAUCCAUGCAAAUGGACUCCACCAUCGCUGCUUUGUUAACUCUUCAUAACUGAUAAUUUGCUGGGUUUUAUUUUAAUUUUUAUCAGUCGCUUAAUUUUAACGUCACUGCUUCAAUUCACUCUGUCAAAAGCGCCGGUAAGUAAAAAAAUUAAAAAACUAAUUAAACCGAAAAAACCAGAAAAAAAUAAUUGAGAAAACCAAACAAAAAAAACCCGAUUAAAAUAUUAAAAAACUGGCUGGUUUGGUUCGGUUUUGAUUUUAUAAAUAAAAAACUAAAAAAACCUAACCGAACCGAAAAUUGAGUUAAACUGAGUCAAAACCAAUCCAAAUUAGAAAAAUCAAGCUAAAAUCAACCUAAACUAAAAAAAAAAACCAAUAAAUAAAGUACAAAAAUAAAAGUAAGUUGAAAUGACAACUUUUUAUUUAAAAAGAAAAAACUUUUCCUUUUCACGUUACUUUGUUUCAGGCUACCAUAUGCUCUAUAAAAGCACCCACUAGCGAUUGUUUCUCAACUUUUUUUUAAGAAUCUAUUCACUUUUUUUUAUUGUGAGAGAUUAGCAGAGGUUCAAUGGCCAAGUAACAAGUGUUCCUUUGGGCUCAAACAACCUCCCUUCCCCCUUUACUUUUUUUUUUUUUUAAUAUUAAUUUUGAUUUUGAUUUUUAAUUUCAAAGGAGUUUGUGUCACGCGUGAGAUAAUCCGUUGUUUCACCAGCGUAUGAUUUUCGGCAGACAGCUAGGAGGACACAAACCUCUCCCACACGGCAAGUGCAUGUAAAUUCCACAAGUGAACCCCGCAGCAUUAGAUAGUGAAGGUGGAAUUUAGUUGACUUUAAAAGGCUACUCAUCAAGUCAAGGUCGCACAUCCACUCUAUUUGCCAUGCAAUUUCUUGAAAUUAAUUUGCCAUUACAUUUCUUGAAUUAGGCGGCUUGACUUACAAGAGAAUUAUAAUGCAGUAGUUAUUUUUAAUUUUUUUUUAUUUGGAAAUAUAUUAAAUAAUGAUUUUUUAUUUUUAAUAUUAACAUAUCAAAAUAAUUUUGAAAUACUAAAAAAAAUUAAUUUGAAAUAAAUAAAAAAUAAAAAAAAUUAAUUUAUUUUAAAUAAAGAAAUAAUAGAAUAAAAAGGCUUCGAUUCUAGUAAGUUCUUGCUUGCAAGUCCUCUACCACACGCUCAUUUAGAUACUCAGUCACUUAUAUCCCAACUGGCAUUCAAGCCUAGUAAUUUGGUCUUCCAUCUACCAAUAUCGUGGUACUUUGCUUUAUAAAAAAGGCUAGCUGCCACAGUGAGUUUUGCACCACCCGACUCCAUUCUAAUUAAACAGAAAAGUAGCUGUCAUGAGAAUUCGAGGAAUGGCCUUACAGUUCACAAUAACAGGAGUAGUGUUGUUAGCAGCAGUGACAGCAGCAACAGGGUUUCCUAUAGCGAAGCCUGGAUGCCAAGAUAGGUGUGGGAAUGUUAGUAUCCCAUAUCCAUUUGGCACCAGAAAAGAUUGCUACCACGACCGGAGGUUCCUCAUAACUUGCAACCAUUCUUUCAACCCUCCAAAAGCGUUUUUAGAAAAUAGUAACUUAAGUGUCACAGAAAUAACCCUUGAUGGGAAGCUACGCCUCAUGCAAUAUAUAGCUAAGGACUGCUAUAAUCGGGCAGGUGCACGAAGAUCGAGAAACAUACCCCGGAUAAACCUACCCGUCCAAGGUCCAUACGUUUUUUCUGACACUGACAAUAUGUUCGUCGCUAUCUGCUGUGAUACUGUAGCUGAAAUGCAAGGUAGACGAGAAGACACGAAUGAUACAUACCUGGUAGGAUGCAUUUCCGAAUGUAGCAACAAAACAUUUGUACCAAACACGUGCUCCGGAAUCGGUUGCUGCCAAACCUCCAUUGCCAAAGGAAUUAAGUACUUCGACGUGCGCUUGUCUAGUUUGUAUAAUCAUACGGGAAUCUGGGAAUUCAAUCCUUGCAGCUUUGCCUUCAUGAUUGAAGAAAAGCAGUUCAGCUUUUUUCCAAGUAACCUGUCGGAUUUACAGGAAGUCAGCAAGCUUCCUAUUAUAGUGGAUUGGAGUAUUGGGCGCAAUAACUGCGAAACCUUGGAAAAGAAUAAGAUAUCGAAUGCAUGUCAAGGACAGAGCAAAUGUCAAGACCCUGAAAAUGGGUCUGGGUACAUUUGCAAAUGCUUAGAUGGCUAUCAAGGAAAUCCAUACCUCCCAAAUGGUUGCCGAAGUAUGCAUUUCUUUUUCUUAAUUUUAUCCCUUUUUUAUAACUUUUUACUUUCAUAAAGAGAAAUCCAUACCUCCCAAAUGGUUGCCGAAGUAUGCAUUUCUUUUUCUUAAUUUUAUCCCUUUUUUAUAACUUUUUACUUUCAUAAAGAGAAAGUUAAAUUACUUGUAAUUGAUUUCGAGGAGAUCCCUAAUCUGAUUUUUCGAGAUUGGAUUACUUGAAAUUAUGAGAAUUUACUUUAGUUUUACGUAAAGGCUUCUCUUUAUGAUGCUUCUGCAGACAUUAAUGAAUGUUCAGAUCCAAAAGUAGCCCACAAUUGCAGCCACGCAUGCAUCGACACCGAAGGGAAUUAUACAUGUUCUUGCCCCAAGGGGUACCAUGGAGAUGGGAGAAUAGAUGGAGAACGCUGCAUCCGCAAUCGAUCAUCAGUGAUUCAGGUCGCUGUCGGUAAGUUCGUAUAUCAUCCUCUUCAUUUUCAAUCCCGAUGUUCAUGUACAUACUAUUGUGUAUAGAUCUUUCAUGUGCCAUUAAACGUACCUGUUUGUUUCAGGAAUUUUCAUAUCUGCAAUGUACAUAAUUAAUGUACAUAUCUACGAAUUUUCAUAUCUGCAAUGUACAUAAUUAAUGUUUCAACAUCCUUGUACAUGUAGGAAUUGGAGUGGGACUGACAUCUUUGUUGAUGGGAAUUACUUGGCUGUACUGGGGAUACAAUAAAUGGAAGCUAAUUAAGCUCAAAGAGAAGUUCUUUAGGCAAAAUGGUGGUCUAAUGCUGGAGCAGCAGCUAUCAAGAAGGGAAGGAUCCGUUACAGAAACGGCAAAAAUCUUUUCAGCUGAAGAACUCGAGAAAGCCACGGACAAGUACCAUGAAAGCAGAAUUCUUGGCCGUGGAGGUUUUGGGACUGUUUACAAGGGAACUUUAACAGAUGGAAGAACUGUUGCAAUCAAGAAGUCCAAAACAAUCGAUCAUAGCCAGAUCGAGCAGUUUAUCAAUGAGGUGGUUGUUCUUUACCAAAUCAAUCACAGGAAUGUGGUGAAGCUUCUGGGAUGUUGCUUGGAGACAGAAGUCCCAUUACUAGUUUAUGAAUAUGUUGCAAACGGCACCCUCUAUGACCACAUUCACGACAUGAGUAAGGUGUCGGCCCUCACCUGGGAAAUCCGUUUAAAGAUAGCUUCUGAAACUGCAGGUGUUCUAUCAUAUUUGCAUUCCGCGGCUUCUGUGCCAAUCAUUCAUAGGGAUGUCAAGUCUACAAACAUACUCCUGGACAACAGUUACAAGGCAAAAGUGUCAGAUUUUGGCACUUCUAGGUUAAUUCCGUUGGAUCAAGUUGAAGUGUCAACAAUGGUGCAGGGUACUCUAGGAUACUUAGACCCUGAGUACUUGCACACAAGCCAACUGACGGACAAAAGUGAUGUUUACAGUUUUGGAGUGGUUCUUGUGGAACUACUAACUGGGAUGAAGGCAGUUUCCUUCCAUAAGCCUGAGGAGGAGAGGAGUUUAUCAGCGUAUUUUCUAUGCGCACUGAAAGAAGAUCGCCUGGUCCAUAUUCUUCAGGAUAGCAUGGUGAACCAGGAUAAUAUUAGGCAGCUGAAGGGAGUUGCCAACAUUGCAAAGAAGUGCUUAAGAGUAAAAGGAGAGGGAAGACCCAACAUGAAGAAGGUAGCAAUGGAAUUAGAGGGGCUAAGAACAUCUGCAAAACAUCCUUGGACUAAUGACGAAUCAAAUGUAGAAGAGACAGAGUACCUGCUUGGUAAAUCAGUGGAAACUGCUCGUUCUGAGGAAAUGGCUGGUACAAGUGCUGGAUAUCACAGUUUACAGAAUUAUUUAAUGCAAUCACUAGAUGGUGGCAGAUGAACAUUUUAUUAUAGUGUCACAGCUUCGCUUGAUAGUUUUCUUUGAAUAAUAGCUUGCCAGCAGUGUAUGGUAAUGCAUUUCUUUUCUUUUCUAUAUUUCAGUCCAGUUCUGUUUUUGUUAUAGUGGUCCUGUAAUUUUAAAAGACGACGAAUUUCUGACAUUAUGUCCAAUAUUCAACCCGCAUUAAAACUCUUUAUCCUACCUCCAUUUUGCAAUGUAAUAUUCCAGGUGAUCUCCUUCUGAAAGCAAAUAAAUUUCUGGGCACACAUUCUGGUGCAUGCCAUUUUACCACUGAACAUAUUCCUUUCUUCUUGAGAACACAUGCAAGCUUAGGAGCUGUUAAUAAUCCAAUACUGACUCGUUUUUCCAACAUGUUCUUUCUUUAUUAGAUAUUACCUCUAUAUUCAGUCUAAGAUUAUAAGAGCACUGAAACAGAAAGAAACGAGGGCUAAUAACUUCAGCAUAAUAACGUUUCGCGGCCUGAUGCGACCAUGAGCUUAAAAUCCAAUGGAAAAGCUAAAUGGAUAGCCAAAAAUAAAAAAUUAAUAUUUUGGUUUUUCUUUGCUUGUUUUGCACAUUUUAAGGGGAAAACCAAACAAAAUGCUAAAAUGCAUUUUCUCUCCUACAAAUGUUAUUCCUACAUAUCUCUCAAAAGAGCCAAAACUAAUCAAGUGAGGCCAACAAAAGAAUAAGCCAAUUAAAUCUAGCCAUGUGGAAAAAAAAUAACAUCAAAAUUAUUAAAAAAAAAUAAAACACUUCUUUAUUUUACUCUAAUAGAAUUAGCUUUUCAAAUGGCUUUUUUCUAUUGAAAUAUACAUAAUAAAAAAAACUAUAUUUAUAUUAUUCAAAAUACUAUUUUAUCAAUUUGCUUCUUUAAAAUAACAUCUCCCAUUGAAGAUGCUCUUUACCAUGCCCGUUGACAAGGACUGCGAUUAUAUGUCUCUGGGAAGGAAAUUUUUAUUGUCGCCCCGAUAUUUAGACAACCACAAAAAAAGAAAUUCGUAAAGGGACAAUCAUUAUUCAAUUUUUCUUGUCGGUGAAAACUAAAAACCAAUCUAACGUCGAUCAUAAUAGUUCUUAAUGAAGAAAUUGAUUCCACACACACACACACAUAUAUAUAGAGUAAUGAAUAUCUGAAUAGAUACCAGAUGUAUAACCCAAUAAAUAAUAGAUAAAGUAUGAACAUAGCACCUUGUUAAAACCCAAUUUAUGCCCAUAAUCAAAUAUACUAAAUUUGGACCUUAGGUCUAAAGCCACCUUGUCAAUUCAAAGAUAAUAAAAUUAAAGUUUAAAAACCAUUAAAAGAAUAAAAAAUAAUGAGGACAUGAGCCCUAUGUCCAUUUGCAUCUAUCACAUCAUGUAUUUAAAAAUAAAAUUGAACCGCUCGACCUCUAUUUUUCCCCCUAAAAGAUCUGCAAGAAGGACUUUAUUAGUGUCAUAACAAAAAAAAAAUCAAAUAAUAACAAUACCAAAACAUCUACAAAAAAUAAAAAAUCUUAUAGAUAAAACAAAAGAGCAUCUUCCUAGCUUCCCAAAGCAAUCUUUGGUUAGUGUUAAAGCUUUUUUAAUAAUUUCUAUUACAUAUAGUUCUAGAUUUAUUAUAUUAAAUACAAGCAUCAACAUUUCUAGAUUUAUUAAUUGAAUGAAUCUUAAUUAUCUUUGUUUGAAAGUUUAGUAACGAUUAUUUUUUAAAAUAUUUUUUAUUAAAAAAUAUAUUAAAAUAAUUUUUUUUACUAUUUUAAUAUUAAUAAAUCAAAAUAAUAUAAAAACACUAAAAAUUAUAUAUAUAUAUAUAUAUAUAUAAAUUUUAAUGAGAGGAUUAUAGAUUAUAUAAAAUUAAAACCAUAUUUGCUUUUUUGGGAGUGUUUGGGAAUAUGACACAAACCACGUUCCCUCAAGUUUUUUUUUUAAAAUUUGUUAAUUUUUUUUUUAUUUUCAGAUCGUUAUAAUAUAUUAAUGUUAAAAAUAGUUUUUAAAAAAUAAUAAUAAAAAGUGAAACGCAACCGUCUCUUUAAAUUGAGUAGGUAACCUCCGAUUUAUGCUUCGGUUGAUGUAGAUCUUGUAAGAAACCCGUCCAGUCGAAACUAUUUGCUUAUUAGUCUAAAAAGAUUUUUGAAUUCGUUACUUAGUUUUAGGUUAUCAGCCUGGUGAGAUUCUGAAUGUUGCACUGUUAAAUAUCAGCAAGUUGGGAAACGAAGGUAAACCUCAAGAAACGAAGAUAUGUUUACCAUGGAGCUUAAUGUUGAAGAAUAAUCAAUUACUGUUAGCAGUUCUUGUUAGUAAGUCGGUUAAUACUGUUAGUCUAGCUGGCAGUUAGUUAAGUCUGUUAGUAUUCCUAACUAACAAUAACAGAUUCCUUGAAUCACGGGGCAGUAGCUGAUUCCUUGUAAUGGCUAUAUAAUGCCUUAUUGUUGCAUCUAUAGAGAAUAAUACAGUACAGUAUUCAUCAAUCGUUCUUGUUUAUCAAUUCUAACAAAUUGGUAUCAGAGCAAAACAAAGAAAAAAAAGAAGAAAGAAUCAAGAAGAAGAAAAGAAAGCUGCAGUUGAUUUCUUUGCUUUACGAUUGACAUAUACAAACAAAGAAGAUUCAAGAGAUGGCGAAUGACAAUAAUGGCAGUUUCAUACAACCAUCUAUACCACGUUUUGAUGGACAUUUCGAUCACUGGAGCAUGCUAAUGGAGAAUUUCUUGAGAUCCAAGGAAUUCUGGACCUUGGUUGAAACUGGCUGCACAGAGCCAGAGGAAGGAGCAAAUGUGACUGAAAUGCAACGAAAGAAACUGGAGGAGCUAAAACUCAAAGAUCUGAAAGUGAAGAACUACUUAUUCCAGGCCAUUGACAGAACCACACUAGAAACUAUUCUAGAGAAGAACACCUCUAAGCAAAUCUAGGACUUAAUGAAAAGAAAAUAUGAAGGAAAUGCAAGAGUGAAGCGUUCAAUCCUUCAAACACUAAGGAAGGAGUUUGAAACACUGGAAAUGAAAACAGGUGAGAAUGUCACUGACUACUUUGCAAAAGUCAUGACUGUAGCAAGUAAGAUGAGAACCUAUGGGGAGCAGAUGAAAGAUGUAACAAUUAUGGAGAAAAUUCUUCGAUCAUUGACUGACAUAUUCAAUUACAUAGUAUGCUCAAUUGAAGAAUCUAAGGAUAUUGAUGUUCUCUCAAUUGAUGAGUUACAAAGCUCGUUGAUUGUAUAUGAACAAAAAUUUCAGAAACAUCACAUAGAAGAACAAGCCUUGAAAGUGACAGCUGAAGAAAGAUCAUAUGGUAGAGGACAAGGCAGACGAGUCUUCAGAGGAGGUGGAAGAGGUAGAGGACGCUAUAACUUUGAUAAAACCACUGUGGAAUGUUAUAGAUGUCACAAACUUGGUCAUUUUCAGUAUGAAUGCCCCACAGUGAGCAAGGAGGCAAAUUAUGCAGAACUGAACAAUGAAGAAGAAAUUCUAUUGAUGUCUCAUAUAGAAUUAUAUGGCAACAAUCGAGAGAAUGCUUGGUUCUUGGAUUCUGGCUGCUCAAACCAUAUGUGUGGAUAAAAUGAGACGUUCUGUGAUUUGGAUGAAAAAUUUAGACAACUGGUAAAGCUUGGGAAUAAUACACGAAUGACAGUCCUUGGAAAAGGAAAAAUCAAGUUGUUUUUGGAUGGGAUGCAGCACAUGGUUACUGAUGUAUUCUAUGUGCCUGAACUGAGGAACAAUCUCAUGAGCAUAGGCCAACUACAAGAAAAGGGUCUGGCGAUUCUUAUCAAAUCAGGAACAUGCAAGAUCUAUCACCCUGUGAGAGGCCUGAUCAUCCAAACCAGAAUGACAGUCAACAGGAUGUUUGUAUUAAUAGCAAAGGCUCAAGGCAAAGAAGUCUCAUGUUUCCAUACACAUGCACGAGAUGUAUCACAUUUGUGGCAUUGCAGAUAUGGUCAUCUUAGCCACAAAGGACUAAGAACAUUGCAGUAUAAGAAGAUGGUUCGAGGACUACCACAGCUCCCUGCAUCAACUACAAAAUGCACUGCCUGUAUUACUGGCAAGCAACACAGAGAAUCUUUCCCAAAGAAGAGUCAAUGGCGUGCAUCACAAAGGCUACAGCUCAUCCAUGCAGACAUAUGUGGUCCAAUCACACCAACCUCAAACAGCAAGAAAAGGUACUUCUUAUGCCUCAUUGAUGAUUAUAGCAGGAAGGCCUGGGCUUAUUUUAUGGCAGAAAAAUCAGAAGCUCUUCAACAUAUCCAGCACUUUAAGAAGCUUGUUGAGAAAGAAACUGGACAAUUCAUCAAGGGUAUAAGAACGGAUAGAGGUGGUGAGUUCAACUCCCUGGAAUUCAAUGAGUUCUGUCAACAAAUGGCAUCAAAAGACAGCUAACUACAGCCUACACCCCUCAGCAGAAUGGAGUGGCUGAGAGGAAGAACAGGACAGUGAUGAACUUGGUAAGAUCAAUGCUUUCAGAAAAGAAGAUUCCUAAAAGUUUCUGGGCUGAGGCAGUAAAAUGGAUCAUAUAUGUCUUGAAUAGAUGCCCUACAAAUGCUAUAAAAGACAUGACUCCAGAAGAAGUGUGGACUGGAAUGAAACCCUCGGUUGAACACUUUAGAGUGUUUGGGUGUGUAGCUCAUGUGCAUAUACCAAAUGCAAGACGAACCAAACUAGAAAACAAGAGUGUGUGCUGUGUAUUGUUGGGAGUUAGCGAAGAAUCAAAAGGCUACAGAUUAUAUGAUCCCACAACAAAGAAAAUUGUAACCAGCAGGGACAUAAUCUGUGAAGAAGAAAAACACUGGGACUGGGAUAUCAGUUACAAAGAGGAAGUACAAAUGAGUUUAGAAUGGGGAGAAGAAGAUGAAACUGAUGAAAAUGAAGCAAACAGCAGUGAAGAUGCAGAGGCAACUGAUAUUAUUGCCAACUCACAUACUGAAGAUGGGAAUGACAUUAGAGAACCCAGAGAAGCUCCUGCCAAUACAACAUAUGAAGAAGAUGUUCAGCUGCAUGCAAGGAGGGAGACAAUUAUGCCAAUUGGAUGAGAGACUAUGUCUCUGGUGAAGGACUGUCAGAAGAAGAAACUGAAUUGAAUAUGACAAUUAUUAGUUCUGGUGAUCCCGUGAGCUAUGAAGAAGCAGUAAAAAGUUACAAGUGGAGGGAAGCCAUGGAUGUUGAAAUGGAGUCAAUUCAGAAGAAUAAAACAUGGAGCUUAACUGAAUUACCAGCUGGAACUAAGAAGAUUGGGGUGAAAUGGAUAUACAAGACCAAACUGAAUGAGUCUAGCAAAGUGGAUAAGCUGAAAGCCAGGUUAGUUGCCAAGGGUUAUGCUCAACAACAUGGUGUGGAUUAUACAGAAGUAUUUGCUCCUGUGGCAAGAAUGGACACUGUUCGGAUGAUCAUUGCACUAGCUGCUAAAGGGGUUGGCCAUCUAUCAAUUAGAUGUUAAGUCGGCUUUCUGCAUGGAGAAUUAAGUGAGGAUUUAUUUGUAGAGCAACCAAAGGGUAUGAGCAGAAAGGAGAUGAACAUAAGGUCUACAAAUUACACAAAGCUUUGUAUGGACUAAAACAAGCCCCUAGAGCUUGGUUUAGUCGCAUUGAAGCUUACUUCAGCCAUGAAGGAUUUCAGAAGUGCAUUAGUGAGCAAACUCUGUUUGUUAAAACCAGUGAAGGCAGAAUUCUUAUUGUGAGUGUCUAUGUGGAUGAUUUGAUCUUCACUGGAGAUGAUGAGUAGUUGAUGCUGGAAUUCAAACAAUCAAUGAUGAGGGUGUUUGACAUGAUUGACCUAGGAAGAAUGAGAUUCUUUCUAGGCAUAGAAGUACUGCGACAGACCAAUGGGAUAUAUAUCUGUCAACGAAAAUAUAUACUAGAGGUUCUGAAACGAUUUGGCAUGGAAGACAGUAAUGCAGUAAUGAAUCCUAUAGUCCCUGGUUUCAAACCUGACAAAGUUGGAGAAGGAAACAAAGUUGAUGAGACUUACUAUAAAUAAAUAGUAGGAAGUCUCAUGUAUAUCACUGCUACCAGGCCAGAUAUCAUGUUUGCAGUGAGUUUUAUUAGCAGGUGUAUGUCCAAUCCAACAGAGGUGCAUCUGCAAGCUACUAAAAGAAUAUUACGAUACUUGAAGGGCACCAUCAAUUAUGGUAUAUUCUACAAGAAGAAUGAUAACAAGCAGCUGAUUGCAUACACUGACAGUGACUAUGCAGGAGAUCUUACAUACAGGAAGAGUACAUCCGGCUAUAUCUUCAUACUAAGUGGAGGAGCAGUCUCAUGGUCAUCAAAGAAGCAGCCUAUUGUCACUCUGUCAACAACUGAAGCAGAAUUCGUGGCUGCAGCAGCUUGUGCCUGUCAGGCAGUAUGGAUGAGAAGGAUAUUGGAGAAGUUAAACCAUGAACAAAAGGGCUGCACUAUCUUAAUGUGUGAUAACAGUUCAACCAUCAAGCUCUCAAGAAAUCCUAUUAUGCAUGGACGCAGCAAGCACAUUGAUGUGAGGUUCCAUUUCUUACGUGAUCUAACUCGAGACAAAGUCAUCGAACUGGUGCAUUGCAACUCUCAAGAUCAAGUAGCUGACCUGCUGACAAAACCAGUUAAACUACAGACAUUUGAAAGCCUGCGAGAGCAAAUGGGAGUGUGUGUGAUUCCUGACAUAAACUAAUUGUUACACAUAAUUAGUUUAAAGGAGAGAAUGUUGAAGAAUAAUCAAUUACUGUUAGCAGUUCUUGUUAGUAAGUCGGUUAAUACUGUUAGUCUAGCUGGCAGUUAGUUAAGUCUGUUAGUAUUCCUAACUAACAAUAACAGAUUCCUUGAAUCACGGGGCAGUAGCUGAUUCCUUGUAAUGGCUAUAUAAUGCCUUAUUGUUGCAUCUAUAGAGAAUAAUACAGUACAGUAUUCAUCAAUCGUUCUUGUUUAUCAAUUCUAACACUUAAUCCAUGCAAAUUGACUCCACCAUCGCUGCUUUGUUAACUCUUCAUAACUGAUAAUUUGCUGGGUUUUAUUUUAUUUUUUAUCAGUCGCUUAAUUUUAACGUCACUGCUUCAAUUCACUCUGUCAAAAGCCCCGGUCUUCUACUAUGGUCUUUGAAUGAAUGAGUUUAGUUCUUGACUUUGCCGCAUCUGAUAUCACGGGCGUCUCUUAAAAAUAAUCCUCGAUUAUUUUUUAAAAAUAAAUUUAUAGUAUCUUAUUUUUUUAAAAAAAAUAUUUUAUUUGAUGAAUUGUCACCUAGUAUUAUAAGCAUUAGAAAUCAUAACUAGUCAAAAUAGAUUUUAUGGUACGUGAUUGAUUAUGUAAAAAGAAAGAUAUUAUCACCCUUUAAACGUUCUCCCUAAAACAGACUGCAUUGCUGGUUUUGUCUUAAAUUGCUAAACAUUUAUUUGCUUAUACUAUGAUGGUUUGUUUAUAAUAUUCCUGACUUUGACCUAGUGAAUAUUCAAUCUCGAAUAAUUUCAACUCUGGCGUUAGUAAAAAUUCCAACCCCGAAUAAUUCCAACUCUGGCGUUGGUAAAAAUUUCACCACGAAUAAUUCCAACUCUAAUGUUGGUAAAAAUUCAUAACUAUAAAAAAAAUAGUGUGUGUAUAUAUAUAUAUAUAUAUAUAUUUAUUAUUGAUCUUGAUAUCAGUAAAUAAAUAGAUAAAAAUAAAUAUUUUCUAAGACAUGCAAAAUUUUUAUUUGUACGCUUUCUAUUUUUUAUUUUUUAUUUUUUGUUUUGUGGGCUGGGCUGGAUCCAGCUGACCCGGUUGGGUCACUGGUCUAGACCAAUGACCCGGCUGUUAUAAUUCACUGCUAUUUUAGCAUUGAAUUAAAAUGCAAAGGAGAGAAGAUGACUUACCUGCUGCUCCUGAAGAUGAAGAUGAAGACGGUUCUCUCGGGUGGUUUUUCUUUUUCAAGUCACUGUUCGUCCUCCAUUUUUCUGUGGUUCUUGGUCUGUUCCUCGAUAUUUUUUUCAGUUCUUCCUCUCUCUCUGUUUUCUGUCCCUAGUGCUGGAGAUGGUUAAGGCAAUGGUCCCAUCCCUGUAUAAUCUCUGUCUCUCCUCCUGCUUGCGGCCCGUUUGCGUUUCCAAAUUCCAGGUCUCCUCGGUUUCCUCCGUUCCUCCUUGUUCGUCUCUGUUUUUUUUUUUUUGCUGUCUAUUUGUUUUCUUUUCUCUGUUUCUCGCCCUGUCGUGUUCGUUCUUCCCGGUCCUGUGGGUUCUAUCUCUGGUUUUCUUAUGAUUUUUCUCAACUUGGGAGCCCUUUUUGACCCCCUGUUUGCGUCUAUGCUUUUCAGUUUUCUCCCCGCCCUUUUCUCCGUCUGUAUUUUUUCUUUUUUUUCAGUUCCUUUCCCUCCUUUCAGUCCCCAGUUUUUCUUCCUUUUCCUUCCUCCCCUGCGUUCUUUCUUUUCUCUGGCUUUAUAGCCACAGAAUGCCACCGUUACCAGGUAAUAAAUCGACUGUUAUUGCAGGAGUAAUGGCGAUGCAUCCGUUUUUGUUCGGUCAAGUGAAGAAGAAGAUGAACAGUGUUGAUGGACAUGGCUAAUUGCAUUUGGAUCCUUGAAAUUUUGAAUUUGGCAGUCCAGUCCUUGGGUAAAUUUUAAUUGAACCCCUGCAUCUCAGCGCCAUUUACAAAUUGGUCCUUGGGUUUUAAUUUCUUGCAACUUUGACCAGAAUCAGCCCUAUACUUGGAUAAUGUUUCAAUUAAGCCCCUGAUUUCAUUAAUUAAAUUAAUAUCAAUCUCAAUUAAGUCUCAAAACUUAUCAAUUCUUCAAUUGAACCCUUGGUUGGAUUAAUUAAAUCAAUUUCAAGCUUAUUCAAGUAUCAAAACUUAUCAAUUCUUCAAUUAAACCCUUAACUUGAUUAAUUAAACUAGUCAAGAAUUUAAUUAAAUUUUUAAACUUUUAAUUAUAUUGCUUUUAACCCAAAUUUUAAUUCAUUCUUUAAUUAUUUUAUUUUUACUUGUGUUUUAUUAUUUUUUUAAUAAAUAAAAUAAUUAAAAUCAAAAAUAAAAAAUUAGUUCAUGACAGACUUUGCAGAGAAGAAUUUAGUUUGGUCGUUUACAAAAGGAUUAAAUAUGAGAGUACGAAAAGUAAGUUGAAAUGACAACUUUUUAUUUAAAAAGAAAAAACUUUUCCUUUUCACAUUACUUUCUUUCAGGCUACCAUAUCCUCGAUAAAAGCACCCUACUAGAGAUUGUUUCUCAACUUUUUUUUAAGAAUCUAUUCGCUUUUGUUGAUUGUGAGAGAUUAGCAAAGGUUCAAUGGCCAAGUAACAAGUGUUCCUUUGGGCUCAAACAACCUCCCUUCCCCCUUUGCUUUUUUUUUUUUUUUUAAUAUUGAUUUUGAUUUUUAAUUUCAAACGAGUUUGUGUCACGCGUGAGAUAAUUCGUUGUUUCACCAGCGCAUGUAUGAUUUUCGGCAGACAGCUAGUAGGACACAAACCUCUCCCACACGGCAGGUGCAAGUAAAUUCCACAGGUGGGCCCCGCAGCAUUAGACUGUGAAGGUGGAAUCUAGCUGACUUUAAAAGGUUCCAAUCAAGUCAAGGUCACACAUCCACUCUAUGUGCCAUGCAAUUUCUUGAAAUCAAUUUGCCAUGAUAUUUCUUCAAAUCAAUUUGCCAUGAUAUUUCUAAGAAGACACGAGGACCUAAGUGAAAUUAACCUCACAGUUUGGGGAUUUUUUAAUGAGAUUUUCCGAGGAAAAAAUGUACUGACAUUUCCAUAUUCAAAAUUAGGCGGCUUGACUUAGAGGAGAAUUAUAAUGGAGCACUUAUUUUUUAUUUUAAAAUAAUAAUUUUUUUAUUUUUUUAAAAAUUAUUUUUAAUAUUAAAAUAUUAAAAAAAUUAAUAUAAAAUAAAAAAAUUCAAUUUAUUUUAAGAACACUUUUAAAACAUAAAGAAAUAAUAGAAUAAAAAAGUUUUGAUUCUAGUAAGUUCUUGCUUGCAAGUCCUCCGUGAGUCACGUAUAUCCCAACUGGCGUCCAAGCCUAAUAAUUGGUCUUCCGUCGACCAUUAUCGUGGUAAUUUGCUUUAUAAAAAAGGCUAUCUGCCACGGUGAGUUUUGUACCACCCGACUCCAUUCUAAGUAAACAGAAAAGUAGCUGUCAUGGGAAUUCGAGGAAUGGCCUUACAGUUCACAAUAACAGGAGUACUGUUGUUAGCAGCAGUGACAGCAGCAACAGAGCUUCCUAUAGCGAAGCCUGGAUGCCAUGAUAGGUGUGGGAAUGUUAGUAUCCCAUAUCCAUUUGGCACGGGAGAAGAUUGCUACUACGGCUCUAAGUUCCUCAUAACUUGCAACCAUACUUUCAACCCUCCAAAAGCGUUUUUAGGAAAUGGUAGCUUAGAGGUCACAGAAAUAACCCUUGAUGGGAAGCUACGCAUCAUGCAUUAUAUAGCUAAGGAUUGCUAUAAUCAGGCAGGUGCACGAACAUCGAGAAACAGUCCCUGGAUAAACCUAUCCAUCAAAGGUCCAUACGUUGUUUCUGACACUGACAAUAUGUUCGUCGGUAUCGGCUGUGAUACUGUAGCUAAACUGCGAGGUACCCGAGAAAACAUGAGUGAUACAUACCUGGUAGGAUGCAUUUCCGAAUGUAGCAACAAACAAUAUGUACCAAACACAUGCUCCGGAAUUGGUUGCUGCCAAACCUCCAUUGCCAAAGGAAUUAAGCACUUCGACCUGAGCUUGUCUAGUUACAGUAGUCAUACGGGAAUCUGGGAAUUCAAUCGUUGCGGCUUUGCCUUCAUUAUUGAAGAAAAGCAGUUCAGCUUUUUUCCAAGUAACCUGUCGGAUUUGGAGAAAGUAGAGAAGCUUCCUAUUAUAGUUGAUUGGAGUAUUGGGCGCAAUAACUGCGAAACCUUGGAAAAGAACAGGAUGUCUAGUGCAUGUCAGGGACAGAGCAAAUGUCAUGACCCUGAAAAUGGGUCUGGGUACAUUUGCAAAUGCUUAGAUGGCUAUCAAGGAAAUCCAUACCUCCCAAAUGGUUGCC